CCGGAUAACCCAGGCUGCCUGAUAGGCGCUAGGAGGCUAUAGUCCCAUGACUUAUUCCACCGGGUACCCACUUUCUGCUGGGUGAACAGAGGCAAUUCUG